UCUGCCUUCUUGGCGUUGCGUUUCUACAUUGAAUAUGAGAGAGUUAAAAAAACAUUAACAACACUCCUCAAAACAAAGAAAUUGGUCAAGCAAAACCUCAUAGGAUAAAUGCUAAAGCAUUCUCCAUGAAACAAGCAUAUAGCCUAAAAUGAAAGUAACAGAAACAAUAGAAAAGAAAAAGCAUUCUCCACAAGUACAAUAACUAGAAAGAUAUUAACUAUUAACCAUGAUUCUCCACUAGAAUCAUGAAUUAAAAAAUGUUAGACAAGCAUCUCAAAUGUCUUCAAUUGAAUAGCUAUUUUAUGCCUUCAACAAUAAGCAACGGCACUUAUCCACAGCAGACUAAGACCUGGAAAAUGUGUUUAAUCAAAUUCUAACUGACAAUCAAUCACAAAAUGCAAAUUUAAGGUAGCGUGCUCAGAUUACUUGUUGCUUGACAAGCAUCUAAAAAAUUAUCAAUCAACCACUGAUUAAACAAAAGAUAUUGUACUCAAGCAAAUAAGGAAAGGAGAAGAACUAAGGACUACCAUGUAAGCCUCAUGAUUG
rnacentral:misc_RNA from 1 species